rnacentral:lncRNA from 1 species
ACACCCUAGCGCUCUUUGCUCUUACUUAGUCAUAAUCCUCAAAGUUCUUUCCGGUGGGAGAGGAACAUCGCCGCAUACACCCGCGGUCCAAGAACUAUUGAGUUCACAAGUACUGGGAUUCCGGAAUCGACUUCACAAGUCAAGGGUCCAUAUCCAACCCUAUACUGUUGACCUACCUAGGUCCAAUGCACUUUCCACCCUAGGUCCAACAGACUCUAGGUCUAAUGCCUCGAUGCCACAACCUAGGUUUACCUUAACUCUAGGUUCAGUUCUCAACCUAUGUUCUUUAACACUAGGUUAGAUGCCACACACCUAGAUCCCGACUCUAGGUUCAUACUCAACCUAUG